rnacentral:lncRNA from 1 species
CGGGCAUUCUGAUCUGAAGUGGCCCAGCUUCUUGCAUUCAUAGCAGAUGAAGGGCUGUUCCUUUUCUUUUUCUUUACUCGACUCCUCCUUAGUUGGUGGUCUUCUCUUGGUCCCUUAUCCUUUUCUUCUCAUGAAGCAUCUAAAUUUUUUGGUAAUCAGGGUCAAGUCCUUAUCUUCCUCGUGAUUGUCUGAUUUUUCUAUGUCUUCUUCUUCCUGAGCUAUCAACUUGAGAGCGAUGGCCCUCUUUCUUCUAGUUUCCUCCUCAGUGUAUUGCUUCAUGGUCAGUUUAUGAGUCAUGAGGGAUCCAAGUAGCUCCUCCAAUGGUAAAGUAUUUAAAUCUUUGGCCUCUUGGAUUACAGUGACUUUUAUCUCCCACGAUCUUGGUAAGAACCUGAGCACUUCUCUCACA